rnacentral:rRNA from 1 species
GAUGAACGCUAGCGGCAGGCCUAAUACAUGCAAGUCGAGCGGCAAGUCGAGGAGUAAUCUGAGACCUAGAGCGGCGUACGGGUGCGUAACGCGUAUGCAACCUACCUCAUACAGGGGGAUAGCCCGGAGAAAUCUGGAUUAAUACCCCAUAGCACAGCACAAGGGCAUCUGCGAGCUGUUAAAGAUUCAUCGGUAUGAGAUGGGCAUGCGUCUGAUUAGCUAGUUGGCGGUGUAACGGACCACCAAGGCGACGAUCAGUAGGGGUUCUGAGAGGAAGGUCCCCCACACUGGCACUGAGAUACGGGCCAGACUCCUACGGGAGGCAGCAGUAGGGAAUAUUGGGCAAUGGACGAGAGUCUGACCCAGCCAUGCCGCGUGCAGGGAGAAGGCCUUCUGGGUUGUAAACUGCUUUUAUCUGGGAAGAAAAGGCCCAUGCGUGGGACAUUGCUGGUACCAGAUGAAUAAGCACCGGCUAACUCCGUGCCAGCCGCCGCUGUAAAAC